rnacentral:misc_RNA from 1 species
GAUGAAGAACGUAGCGAAAUGCGAUACGUAAUGUGAAUUGCAGAAUUCAGUGAAUCAUCGAGUCUUUGAACGCACAUUGCGCCCUCUGGUAUUCCGGGGGGCAUGCCUGUUCGAGCGUCAUUAUAACCACUCAAGCUCUCGCUUGGUAUUGGGGUUCGCGGUUUCGCGGCCCCUAAAAUCAGUGGCGGUGCCUGUCGGCUCUACGCGUAGUAAUACUUCUCGCGAUUGAGUUCGAUAGGUCUACUUGCCAGUAACCCCCAAUUUUUACAGGUUGACCUCGGAUCAGGUAGGGAUACCCGCUGAACUUAAGCAUAUCAAUAAGCGGAGGA